rnacentral:lncRNA from 10 species
AAGAUGUGUCAAGUAACUAGAAUGUGCCUGGACAGAUACUGUAGAAAGCAAAACCAUAAAGUUGUUCAUGAGCUUGUGGACGCACCUGCCAGCUGUGAAUAAGUGGCUCUAAUCCCGAACAACUUACCUAAAAAGAGCCUGAGAGCUGAACUGUGCAAUGGCCCACUUUCCAGUCCUCACUGACCACUGGGUUGCACACACUUUGGAGAUCUCUGAACAGCAGUGUCAAGGCUUUCAAAUAGAGUUAUCUUUGAAACGACAACACAUGAAAGUCUGGUUGGUACUUGGAGCUUAAAUACAAGGCAAUUGUGUGCCUGCAAAAACAAAAAUAGCAAUAUUAUCCUUAAGAUUUCAACAAGACACAGUGUCUCAUCACAUAAUCCAAAGAAGUCCAGGUUACAAGCCCCACAAUAUUCAGCAUUAUGAAAAAACAGGGAGAUCUUAAUUCACAUGGCAAAGAGAAUCCUCGAAUAACAAUAUUGAGAGGACACAGAUGUCAAAAUCAUCUGACACAUACAUUAAAGCAGAUAUUAUAACAAUGCUCCUAGAAUCGGGGAUAACAUUCGUGAAGUGAAUGGAAAGUUGGAAAGUCUCACCAAAUAUUUCGAAUACAUAAACACCAAUUUAAACUUAAGAAUUAAAAAAAUGUAUUAACCAAAACUCUUAGGGGAAAUAAAAAGCUUAAUUGGAGGAUCUCCAUAAUCGAAUGCAGAAGACUAAGGAAAAAGUCAAUGAACUUGAAAACAGAACACGAAUACCUACAUAAUCUGAACUAUAGAGAGAAAGGAGGAUUUUAUUGUCUCUGAACAGAGGCUCAGGCACAAAUAAAAAAUAACAAAUCCAACAUUCACAUUAUUGUAAUCUGGAAAGAAGAGGACAAAGUGGUCUUUGUGGGAUAAAACUUUGAACAAUUAAUAGCUGAAAAUGGUUCAAAUUUGUCAAAAGAUAUAAACCAGAUUUUUAAAGUUCAGUAAAUGUCAAUCAGGAUAAACCCAAAGAAACCCAUAGCAAGGCAUAUCAUAAUCAAACUGCUGAAAACUAAGAAAAUACAAAACAAUUUUGAAAGCAGCCAAAGGGAAAUGAAAGAGAAACUACCAAAUGAAUGAUUGUAGAUUUCGCAUCAGGAACCAUAGGGGCCAGAAAAAAUGUCAUAACAUUCGGUAAGUAACAAAAGAAAAAGACAUAUCGACCCAGAAUGCUAUGUGGAGCAAAAGUAUCUUCCAGACAUAAAGGCAAAUAAAUGCAUUCUCAGUGGAAGGUAAGUAAAUACAUUCUCAUUCUUAGGAAGACUGCUGGAAAAGAAUUAGCAAAGAUUUGAGAUAAGAAAAAUGAUACCAGAAGGAAACUUAGAACAUCAUCAGUGAAGGAACAAAAGCAGAAAUAGAACAUGUCUGGGUAGACAUAACAGACUAUUAUUCUUCCCUUGAGUUCCUUAAGGAGACUACGGAAAAGAAGAGUGACUAAGAUCUCUGAAGAAGGGAAAAGCUAGAUGACUGGGCCACAAGAGGAAAAAAAGCAGCAAGACAGAGAUUUGUUGGUGCCAACUAAAUGAGCCCAACAGCCAGUGACAACAGAACUGCACUAAAAAAAGUCCCUCAUCAGCUCUUGAGAGCAG